rnacentral:rRNA from 1 species
UGAAGAUGCAGUGUACCCGCGGCAAGACGGAAAGACCCCGUGAACCUUUACUAUAGCUUGACACUGAACAUUGAGCCUUGAUGUGUAGGAUAGGUGGGAGGCUUUGAAGUGUGGACGCCAGUCUGCAUGGAGCCGACCUUGAAAUACCACCCUUUAAUGUUUGAUGUUCUAACGUGGACCCGUGAUCCGGGUUGCGGACAGUGUCUGGUGGGUAGUUUGACUGGGGCGGUCUCCUCCUAAAGAGUAACGGAGGAGCACGAAGGUUGGCUAAUCCUGGUCGGACAUCAGGAGGUUAGUGCAAUGGCAUAAGCCAGCUUGACUGCGAGCGUGACGGCGCGAGCAGGUGCGAAAGCAGGUCAUAGUGAUCCGGUGGUUCUGAAUGGAAGGGCCAUCGCUCAACGGAUAAAAGGUACUCCGGGGAUAACAGGCUGAUACCGCCCAAGAGUUCAUAUCGACGGCGGUGUUUGGCACCUCGAUGUCGGCUCAUCACAUCCUGGGGCUGAAGUAGGUCCCAAGGGUAUGGCUGUUCGCCAUUUAAAGUGGUACGCGAGCUGGGUUUAGAACGUCGUGAGACAGUUCGGUCCCUAUCUGCCGUGGGCGCUGGAGAACUGAGGGGGGCUGCUCCUAGUACGAGAGGACCGGAGUGGACGCAUCACUGGUGUUCGGGUUGUCAUGCCAAUGGCACUGCCCGGUAGCUAAAUGCGGAAGAGAUAAGUGCUGAAAGCAUCUAAGCACGAAACUUGCCCCGAGAUGAGUUCUCCCUGACCCUUUAAGGGUCCUGAAGGAACGUUGAAGACGACGACGUUGAUAGGCCGGGUGUGUAAGCGCAGCGAUGCGUUGAGCUAACCGGUACUAAUGAACCGUGAGGCUUAACCUUACAACGCCGAAGGUGUUU